AUAAUGGGUCAGCGACUUAUAUUCUGUAGCAAGGUUAACCGAAUAGGGGAGCCGAAGGGAAACCGAGUCUUAACUGGGCGUUAAGUUGCAGGGUAUAGACCCGAAACCCGGUGAUCUAGCCAUGGGCAGGUUGAAGGUUGGGUAACACUAACUGGAGGACCGAACCGACUAAUGUUGAAAAAUUAGCGGAUGACUUGUGGCUGGGGGUGAAAGGCCAAUCAAACCGGGAGAUAGCUGGUUCUCCCCGAAAGCUAUUUAGGUAGCGCCUCGUGAAUUCAUCUCCGGGGGUAGAGCACUGUUUCGGCAAGGGGGUCAUCCCGACUUACCAACCCGAUGCAAACUGCGAAUACCGGAGAAUGUUAUCACGGGAGACACACGGCGGGUGCUAACGUCCGUCGUGAAGAGGGAAACAACCCAGACCGCCAGCUAAGGUCCCAAAGUCAUGGUUAAGUGGGAAACGAUGUGGGAAGGCCCAGACAGCCAGGAUGUUGGCUUAGAAGCAGCCAUCAUUUAAAGAAAGCGUAAUAGCUCACUGGUCGAGUCGGCCUGCGCGGAAGAUGUAACGGGGCUAAACCAUGCACCGAAGCUGCGGCAGCGACACUGUGUGUUGUUGGGUAGGGGAGCGUUCUGUAAGCCUGCGAAGGUGUGCUGUGAGGCAUGCUGGAGGUAUCAGAAGUGCGAAUGCUGACAUAAGUAACGAUAAAGCGGGUGAAAAGCCCGCUCGCCGGAAGACCAAGGGUUCCUGUCCAACGUUAAUCGGGGCAGGGUGAGUCGACCCCUAAGGCGAGGCCGAAAGGCGUAGUCGAUGGGAAACAGGUUAA
rnacentral:rRNA from 1 species